CAAGUCGAACGCGAAAGCCCCUUCGGGGGCAAGUAGAGUGGCGCACGGGUGAGUAACACGUAGGUAAUCUACCUUCGGAUGGGGAAUAACAACCGGAAACGGUUGCUAAUACCGCAUAAUGCAGCGGCACCUAAUGGUGACAGUUGUUAAAGCGGGGGAUCGCAAGACCUCGCGUCUGAAGAGGAGCCUGCGGCGGAUUAGCUAGUUGGUAGGGUAACGGCCUACCAAGGCGACGAUCCGUAGCCGGCCUGAGAGGGCGGUCGGCCACACUGACACUGACAUACGGGUCAGACUCCUACGGGAGGCAGCAGUCGGGAAUUUUGGGCAAUGGGCGAAAGCCUGACCCAGCAACGCCGCGUGAAGGAUGAAAUCCCUCGGGAUGUAAACUUCGCAAGAACGGGAAGAAUAAGUCUGCGCGAAUAUCGCAGGCGAUGACGGUACCGUUUGUAAGCUCCGGCUAACUCCGUGCCAGCAGCCGCGGUAAUACGGGGGGAGCAAGCGUUGUUCGGAUUUACUGGGCGUAAAGGGCGCGUAGGCGGCCACUGCAAGUCAAUUGUGAAAUCUCCGGGCUUAACUCGGAAAGGUCAACUGAUACUGCAGGGCUAGAGUGCGGAAGGGGCAACUGGAAUUCUCGGUGUAGCGGUGAAAUGCGUAGAUAUCGAGAGGAACACCUGCGGCGAAGGCGGGUUGCUGGGCCGACACUGACGCUGAGUGUGCGAAAGCUAGGGGAGCGAACGGGAUUAGAUACCCCGGUAGUCCUAGCCUUAAACGAUGAAUGCUUGGUGUCUGGGGUUUUAUAGUCCCCGGGUGCCGUC
rnacentral:rRNA from 1 species